UGGGGAAUUUUGGACAAUGGGGGAAACCCUGAUCCAGCCAUCCCGCGUGUGCGAUGAAGGCCUUCGGGUUGUAAAGCACUUUUGGCAGGAAAGAAACGUCGCGGGUUAAUACCCCGCGAAACUGACGGUACCUGCAGAAUAAGCACCGGCUAACUACGUGCCAGCAGCCGCGGUAAUACGUAGGGUGCAAGCGUUAAUCGGAAUUACUGGGCGUAAAGCGUGCGCAGGCGGUUCGGAAAGAAAGAUGUGAAAUCCCAGAGCUUAACUUUGGAACUGCAUUUUUAACUACCGGGCUAGAGUGUGUCAGAGGGAGGUGGAAUUCCGCGUGAAGCAGUGAAAAUGCGUAGAUAUGCGGAGGAACACCGAUGGCGAAGGCAGCCUCCUGGGAUAACACUGACGCUCAUGCACGAAAAGCGUGGGGAGCAAAACAGGAUUAGAUACCCUGGUAGUCCACGCCCUAAAACGAUGUCAAACUAGCUGUUGGGGGCCUUCGGGCCGUUGGUAGCGCAGCUAACGCGUGAAGUUGACCGCCUGGGGAGUACGGUCGCAAGAUUAAAAACUCAAAAUGAAAUUGACGGGGGUCAUAGCUG
rnacentral:rRNA from 1 species